GUGGGCGUAGCUCAGUUGGUAGAGCAUCUGAUUGUGGUUCAGAAGGUCGCGUGUUCGAAUCACGUCGCCCACCCCA
rnacentral:tRNA from 1 species